GCAAGAGCUCAGUGUCCUUCCACAUUGUGUCACCGGUUGUACCCUGAGACAGAUUCUCCAAGUCUUAGAACAUGGAUAUGCAGUGAGAGUGAGGUUUACGUAGAAAAGUCUUUGUGUCUUGGGAGUGCCAUGUGUAUUGAAUGUCUAUGACUCAUGUCUCCCCUUGACUCACUUCUUGGCUGGGCUACAUGACUCAUCAGGCCUGGUAGGUUCAGGGCAGUGUAGCUGGUGGGGAAGGGCUAAGUGAAGAGGGGCUGUCUAGACCUGGGGAGCAUGGUUAUAAUGAGCUUUUUCAAACGUACAACUCAACUCUCUUGCACCUAGGAAGUAUCUUCAUCCAGAAGGAGUUCUCAGUCCUUUUUCUGGUCCUGCAGAGCAAAAGAGGAGAGAGAAAAAGAGAAUGAGUUACAUGGGCCCACUGUAUGUUAUAGCUGACUGCUGAUGGUAUCAGAGAUUUUAACACUGCAGUCAACUGCAGACAAAGCCGCAAUCUUGUGACUUCACAGAGCCUCAUGGGCUUUUGAGUUGACCAACUUGAGAAAAAUUUCUGACUUGAUGCAUGAAAUGAAACGAAGGCAGGUGACACAUAAAGGAAAUGACAAGGUUUCAGAAUCACUGGACCAUUAGACCACAUCAGCACUGGACCCAGCUAAAGGGCAGAGAUUCAGAGAUCCCCAACUGUGACUAGUUGUGCAAGAAGCAUGCAGAAUGAUGAGAAACCUACAGCUCAGAAAAGAAACAAAUCGUCUAUAUGGAAGUCCAGUCUUGCUGUGGAAAGGCUCAGAAAAACAAGACCCUUAGCAUAUCUCAGGGAACUGAAAGGCUGUGGGGAAACCAACAGCUUGCUGCAACCACAGCCACAAGUCAGUGUUCCAGCCAUAUACCCUCGGUUCUUUCCAAGACAUCGCUGAAUCAAAAUCCAAAGCAGGUAUUCCCAAGGUGGAAUGACUGUGGCUCUGUGCCAUCUCGAAAUCUACUGGUCUCUAAGCACAAACGAACAUUCUCUUAAACUAAUGAAAUGAGUGGCAGGCAGCGUGUGCAGAGCACCAGCAAAGGCUCAGAGGGAUGCCCACAGAGUUCCACCGCAACCGUGCACAGAGGAGGAGGAGAAUGCUCCCUACAGGUGAAAACUAGGCUAAUACACAAUGAUUGAAGACUAAAGGAUGAGAAGAGCCACCAGUGGGGCGCAUUCACAGAGAAACGGUCACAUGAUGAGGCAGCAAGAAGGCAAAAAUUGCGAGCCAACAAGAGAGGCCUCAGAAGAAUCCAACCCUGGUGCCGCCUUCAUUUUAAACUUCCAACAACCCCAGAACUGUGGAAAAAAAUUCUAUUUUUUGUCUGUGGUAUUUUGUUAUGGCAACCCUAGCAAACUAAUACACUGAGCAAACUAAUACAUUAAACAGAAUAUUAAAACGAACAAAACAUACUGUUAUUUUUAGUAUGUGCUAUAGUCUGUAUCUAUUUAUUAUCAUUAAGCUUUUAAAAAUUCUAUGCACACAACAAUUUUGUAGUUAUAGUGUUUUGGGGAAUAAAAGGGAAAAGAUGUUUGAG
rnacentral:lncRNA from 10 species